rnacentral:rRNA from 1 species
AACAGGAUUAGAUACCCUGGUAGUCCACGCCGUAAACGAUGAGUGCUAGGUGUUGGGUCCUUUCCGGGACUCAGUGCCGUAGCUAACGCAUUAAGCACUCCGCCUGGGGAGUACGACCGCAAGGUUGAAACUCAAAGGAAUUGACGGGGGCCCGCACAAGCGGUGGAGCACGUGGUUUAAUUCGAAGCAACGCGAAGAACCUUACCAGGUCUUGACAUCCCAGUGACCGUCCUAGAGAUAGGAUUUUUCUUCGGAACACUGGAGACAGGUGGUGCAUGGUUGUCGUCAGCUCGUGUCGUGAGAUGUUGGGUUAAGUCCCGCAACGAGCGCAACCCCUAUUGUUAGUUGCCAUCAUUAAGUUGGGCACUCUAGCGAGACUGCCGGUAAUAAACCGGAGGAAGGUGGGGAUGACGUCAAAUCAUCAUGCCCCUUAUGACCUGGGCUACACACGUGCUACAAUGGCUGGUACAACGAGUCGCAAGUCGGUGACGACAAGCUAAUCUCUUAAAGCCAGUCUCAGUUCGGAUUGUAGGCUGCAACUCGCCUACAUGAAGUCGGAAUCGCUAGUAAUCGCGGAUCAGCACGCCGCGGUGAAUACGUUCCCGGGCCUUGUACACACCGCCCGUCACACCACGAGAGUUUGUAACACCCGAAGUCGGUGAGGUAACCAUUUGGAGCCAGCCGCCUAAGGUGGGAUAGAUGAUGGGGGUGAAGUCGUAACAAGGUAACC